rnacentral:lncRNA from 1 species
GCACAUCUCUCGUACUUCUUUGUCAAUACGAAUACUUCAAGAGUAGAAAGUGCUCAAGUUUUUCAAGAUAUGAACCCUCUUAAGAAGGGUUACCCUAUUUAUAAAGUGCAACCAAUAGACUACCCCUGAAAUCGCGGUAAAAUUUGGUGUCCUUCAGGCCUUACUGGAUAUUUCUUUUUUUUUUUUGGACAUCAAACAUUGUGGUGCUCAACUGCUUUUUCCUGUAAUAAUUGGAUUUUAUAAUAAUUAACGCGGCUGCAUAGUGAUAAUAAUUUCCUCUUUGUUCCACAGAUGCACCCGUGUGCAAGAGCAGUGUACUGACUUCAUGUCAGUACACUGCGAUGUUGACGCAGACCCUGCAGACUCGAUGUUCCACUGGCGCUUUGAGAGUUCAGUGAGUGGCAAGCGUCCACCACUGACCAGUUUCGAACACGAGCUCACGUGCAGCGUGGCCUUGAAUUUAGCCCCGAACUAGGAUGACUUCGGCUUCCUGCUCUGCUGUGGUGCUAACAAGAUCGGCAGGCAAUGCAAGCCCUGCGCUAUUGCUGUUGUUAAAGCUGGUCCUCCGGAACCCGUGAGCAGUUGUAGCCAAGUGAAUGGCACCUGUGACUUGGUGUUAUUGGAGUGCUUGCAUGGCUUCUGGGACAGCGGCCUGCAGCCCGUUACCUUCGUGGGAGAGGUCAACGCCUUUCCCACGUCCAGUCCUGCGUUCUCCUUCAGCGGCCUUUAGGAGGGCGCCACCUUCCCAGUUUUAAUCUACUCCACCAAUCCCAAGGGACACCUGGCACUUAUGGACUUGUUCGUCAGCAUUCUUCAGCCUACCGAAAUGGUGACCCAAUCUGGAGACCCGAGCAUGAGAACUGCUAUGCACAUAAUUGGCGUGCUGCUGGGACUUACUGUGACACUGGUUCUCGCAGCAGUAUUCCUGGC